rnacentral:rRNA from 1 species
AUUGAACGCUGGCGGCAUGCCUUACACAUGCAAGUCGAACGGUAACAGGUCUUCGGACGCUGACGAGUGGCGAACGGGUGAGUAAUACAUCUGAACGUGUCCAGUCGUGGGGGAUAACUACCCGAAAGAUUAGUUCAUACCACAUACGAUCUGCGAAUGAAAGCGGGGGACCUUGGGGUAUCUCGCGAUGAGAGCGGCCGAUGGCAGAUUAGGUAGUUGGUGGGAUAAACGCUUACCAAGCAGCAGAUCUGUAGUUGGUCUGAGAGGACGACCAGCCACACUGGGAGUGAGACACGGCCCAGACUCCUACGGGAGGCAGCAGUGGGGAAUUUUGGACAAUGGGCGAAAGCCUGAUCCAGCAAUGCCGCGUGCAGGAUGAAGGCCUUCGGGUUGUAAACUGCUUUUGUACGGAACGAAAAAGCUUCUCCUAAUACGAGAGGCCCAUGACGGUACCGUAAGAAUAAGCACCGGCUAACUACGUGCCAGCCGCCGCAGUAACAC